GCAAACUCAGGAAUGGGGUCUCACCUGACAGUAGAGGGUGUGACCGCUAGCAGCAAUUCUCGAGUUACAGAAUUAUGUAGCCAACAUAGGUUAGAGAUGUCUACCUGCUAGUUAAGGGUAACACAUAUCUCAUUAGAGCACCUGUCCAUUGAGGGUGACUCAUUAGUCCUUCGGGACACCAAUUUAGUGGAACAACCCAACCAGUGUUAGUACCCGUGGC
rnacentral:lncRNA from 1 species